rnacentral:rRNA from 1 species
CCCAGACUCCUACGGGAGGCAGCAGUGGGGGAUAUUGCACAAUGGGCGCAAGCCUGAUGCAGCGACGCCGCGUGAGCGAAGAAGUAUUUCGGUAUGUAAAGCCCUAUCGGCAGGGAAGAAGAAAGACGGUACCUGACUAAGAAGCCCCGGCUAACUACGUGUCAGCAGCCGCGGUAAUACGUAGGGGGCCAGCGUUAUCCGGAUUUACUGGGUGUAAAGGGGGCGCAGACGGCGAUGCAAGCCAGGAGUGAAAGCCCGGGGCCCAACCCCGGGACUGCUCUUGGAACUGCGUGGCUGGAGUGCAGGAGGGGCAGGCGGAGUUCCUGGUGUAGCGGUGAAAUGCGUAGAUAUCAGGAGGAACACCGGUGGCGAAGGCGGCCUGCUGGACUGCGACUGACGUUGAGGCCCGAAAGCGUGGGGAGCAAACAGGAUUAGAUACCCGUGUAAG